AAAGAGAGAGCGACGUGAGAACAAAAAAAUGGAAGAAGAAGAAAAAAA
rnacentral:sRNA from 1 species